AGGCAUAUACAACCUUCUGAGCUCCGGAGCCUACCUAGCAGCUUACCCAUUGCAUGACGGCCCUUUCGGCAAAGGACGUUUCAACAGGGCCAAGGAGACCUACUCGGAGCGCAGGGUCCUGUACGCCGAGUGGGGACGAGCCCGUUGCUGGUACAAGGAGCAGCCACUGUUUCUCAUUAGG